rnacentral:rRNA from 1 species
AGAGUUUGAUCAUGGCUCAGAACGAACGCUGGCGGCGUGGCUAAGACAUGCAAGUCGAACGGGCUCGUUAAUUUAUUAGCGAGCCAGUGGCGAAAGGGUGAGUAAUGAAUAGGUAACGUACCCCGAGCUCUGGGAUAGCCAUCCGAAAGGAUGGGUAAUACCGGAUAACAUCACGAGUCGAUGGGCUCGUGAUCAAAGAUUCAUCGGCGCGGGAGCGGCCUAUUUCCUAUCAGCUAGUUGGUGAGGUAACGGCCCACCAAGGCGAUGACGGGUAGCGGGACUGAGAGGUUGGCCCGCCACAUCGGAACUGAGACACUGUCCGGACCCCCACGGGGGGCUGCAGUAACGAAUCUUGGGCAAUGGGCGAAAGCCUGACCCAGCGACGCCGCGUGCGGGAGGAAGUCCUUCGGGAUGUAAACCGCUGUCAGGGACGUGAAAGUCCACUUCGGUGGAUUGAUCUAACCCAAAGGAAGUCACGGCUAACUCUGUGCCAGCAGCCGCGGUAAGACAGAGGUGGCUAGCGUUGUUCGGUAUCACUGGGCUUAAAGCGUGUGUAGGCGGGAACGUAAGCAUUUUGUGAAAUCCCCCGGCUCAACCGGGGCAUUGCUUGAUGUACUGCGUCCCUUGAGGCAAGUAGGGGUGCGAGGAACUCUUGGUGGAGCGGUGGAAUGCGUAGAUAUCAAGAGGAACGCCGGUGGUGAAGACGUCGCACUAGGCUUGUCCUGACGCUGAGACACGAAAGCGUGGGGAGCGAACGGGAUUAGAUACCCCGGUAGUCCACGCCGUAAACGAUGCUUACUAGGUUGUGGCGGUUCUGACGCCGGCACAGCCGAAGCCAAAGUGUUAAGUAAGCCGCCUGGGGAGUACGGUCGCAAGGCUAAAACUCAAAUGAAUUGACGG